rnacentral:rRNA from 1 species
CAGCAGCCGCGGUAAUACGGAGGGGGCUAGCGUUGUUCGGAAUUACUGGGCGUAAAGCGCACGUAGGCGGCUUGGUAAGUUAGAGGUGAAAGCCCGGAGCUCAACUCCGGAAUUGCCUUUAAGACUGCCGAGCUAGCAGGUGAGAGAGGUAAGUGGAAUUCCGAGUGUAGAGGUGAAAUUCGUAGAUAUUCGGAAGAACACCAGUGGCGAAGGCGGCUUACUGGCUCAUACUGGACGCUGAGGUGCGAAAGCGUGGGGAGCAAACAGGAUUAGAUACCCCAGUAGUCCCUGUCUCUUAUAA